UUGUAGAGGAACUAUAAAACCUAUAUUCUACUCAUUUGGCCAAUUUUUUCAUAUAUCACCAUCACGUGCUCCAUAAAGUAUUCAAUUUUCUGACAGUGAUUUCGUAAUGUUAUUAAUGCACUUGCAGGAAACUAUGUAUUUAAAGCCAUUUGGUUUUCAAAUGCCCCACAGAUAAAGAAUCUAGUUCUCCAGAGAGGUGACUUUAGUGACCUUGGGUGCAUGGAUCGUCAUGCAGCUUAAUUCCAACAACAGGAGCCGGGGAAUGAGAAACUUGCCACUGAUCAAUAUCCUUUUAAAAGGUUGGCCUUUGUACUCACUUUGUUACUGUUCAUAAAAACCACCAUCUUGAACACUUGUAAGAACCUCUAUCCUACCAUGAUUCAUGAAGCAAGUGGGAACACCGCAAAACUUAGAUACAGCUGUACCCUCGAAUGGUCACAGACAUUUUUGUUCAGUUGGAGGUUUUGUUGUUUUGAAUGUGUGCCAUAUAUAUCUAUUGCCAUAUACAUAUGUUUUUUAUUUUUUUGAAACAUUUGAAAGUGGAAAGUAUAGAAUUUUUUGCUACUACCUAAUAGACAAUGAUGGUGCUUCCCACCUUUUUAUGCCAAUCAUCUUUUUAUUUGGAUU